rnacentral:lncRNA from 1 species
AAAAAUUAAAGAGAAUACAAAAGUUUAGACUUUUAAGAUGACUUUACAUAAUACUACAUAGAUACAUAACCUAAUUUUUUGAAACUAUAUCUAUCUCUUUUAUCAAUAUCUGUACGUUGGGUUUGACAUAUUUCUUUAAUUAAUUAUUAAUGGAGUGUAUUAUCUUUAUAUUACUUGUACUAAGGAUAAUUAAGCCAAAACAUCAAUUUUUGUAACUACAUAUAUAUUAAGUUAUAACAUCGUUAUAGUAAUUGAAUUAGUUUAGUCUCACAAUAUGAUCGUAAAGAUAUUUUAUUGUAAUAGAAGCCAUCUUACAAUGUGUAACACUAUUAGGGAUAAUAAUCUAUCCUCAUAUCUAUGAUACAUAAAUAAGGGAAAAAAAAAUUCUCGGAGGAUCAAACUCCCUACCUCGUAUCCCUCUCCUUAAAUUAGAUGAAAGCGGAAAUUUGUACGGAACCAUUAUUUUAGUUAGGUUUAAUUUGACAAUAAUGUUGUUAACAGUAAUUGAAAAAAUAUUGUUGUUGAGUUACUAAUUAAUGAGAGAGUGUUUAAAUUAUUUUUAGUAUUGGGAUAAUAAUGCUUACAAAUUCUGUCAUGCAAACUAAGUGCUAAGAUCGCAUGUCUCACUAUUUACUUCCGUUUAUUUUGAGAAUUUAUUUAUUUUUUUUAACAAUGAUAUAUACACACACAAAACCAAAUGCUACUAAUAUUUGCAAUCAAAAUUCUAUUUAAUUACUCUAAAUAAAAUAUAUUACAUUACUGUUUAGAUUUCUAUCUUUACUCAUAUAGGAGGUAUAUCUAUUCCACACAUAACAAUGAAUGAAAUAUCUAUCUCCACCCAAUAUGAUUGAGGGAGGAAACUAUUGAGUUGUAUCCCCAACACCCCAUAAAAUUUAUUAGACAAUUUAUUUAUAGUGAUUACACGUGUAAAUCAUAUUUUAACUAACAAAAAGAAAUGUAUUAACAUGUUUAUCUUACAAAAAUUGUAUAUUAUAAUAGAAUAUCCGAUCAUUGGUCUUGAUUAAAUUUUCUAAAUGUCCCAUUACACAUUGCAAAUUAAGGUGUGAAUGGAUGAAUGUGACAAGAUAAUUGCAAAACGUAAAGGUUAUCAAAUAAUCUCAUUUUAACUAAAUAAAUAUGGCCACUCAGUCAAAGUGGCCGAGUGGUGGGCCACUUGCUCUCCUAAAUGUGAGAGCAGUGGUUCAAUUUUUUAUGUACUCAAAUCCUUCCUUAAUUAAGUAUGAUUGAGUGGAAUCAAUUUGUAGUCUUUCUUCUUUACUAAAUGCUUCAUAAAAUUUAAUGUAAAAUUAUAGUUUCAAUUAAUUUUUUAUUGUAAAUAUCAGUAAUUAUUUGCUGAAUAAUGUUUAUUGUUUAAUAGAAUUUAAUGUAAAGUUGUAAUCCCAAUUAUUUAUUUAAUUGUAAAUAUCAGUAAUUAUUUACUAAAAUAGUAGUUAUUAACAGUUGUGAAUACGUGGCGUAAUAUCAAUUGUUAAAAAAAAAACUAAAUAAAUGAUGUGAUAGGCAUGGCAUAGGCUGGUUUGGUUCAGGGACUGUGAUACAGGCCGCAGCUGAAUGGAAGGGGAAAGGGGACAAAAAGGGGACAGGGGAAGCUGAAAAGAAGGGUGUUACUGUAACUGCUGUAGUUGUGGAUUUGGUCUGAAAAAUGGUGCGGUGAUCAAAUUUUGACCAUUCCUUUUUCUCAUUUUUGUUGGUUUCCGAUGAGACUGUUCGUGUUUAGCAGCAGCGGUUGUAGCAGGAAGCAGAAGGAUCAGCAGCAAUCAGCACCAUUUCCCGAUCUCCUUCCGUGCUGCGCGCCGUAUUGUGCGCUGACGACACUUCUCUGUACCAUCAAUGUGCCUUGGGCCCCAUUCUUUUCACGUGCCUUUUUUUUAUUUUUUAAAACUUUUUCGAGGAAACAUUUGUUAUAACUAACUUUUCAAAUAUUGUUUAAAGUAAUUACAAUAUAACAUCUAUAAAUUAAUACUCGAUAUAUUAAUAAUCU